GCAGCUGUCGGAGUGGGCAGCGGAGUGAGUGGUAGCAGAGUGCAGGGCUUUGGCUUCAAUAGGCUUCAGCAGUAAACGGGAAGAGGCAACAGCGAGGCACCAACUCUUUUUUUUUCUCCCCUCCCCCCUUCGUGAAUCGGCCCGGACAGACAGGAGCAGCUGGGCUCUCACAGCUAAUGGUACGAGCUAAAGGUUUAAAAAGUUCGUCUGUUUGGCGAGCUUGUUGUCUUUUCCUUAUUGUCUGUUUGUCCUGUUGGGUGUGGCCUUCCAUGAUUCUAUUAUCUUUCUUGGAUUCACUGUGUAUGCCCACAAGAAAAUGGAUCUCAGCGUUUUAUAUGGUGACAGGGUGCUAUUGAAGACCCUCACCUGGAGUUACACGCUGAUUUCGGUUCUUUGCGGGAAUGGGACCUGCUCUCGGGGGUUCAGGACUGGCCGUUGUUCGGCCCACCAAGGGUUCGGUCUGAGAGUCCAGCUCGGAUUUGAAAGCUUAAAAGCUUGGGACUCUGGAGAUGGGCAGAUCGAGGGUUGGUGUCGCGGCAGGAGACGUCUGUCGUCGGGGAAGUCGGAAAAUCUACUGAUGUGGGCCUGAAGGCCUGAGAUCUUGGCGAUCUGGAAAAAGCAACGUAACAGACUCUUAACAUCGUAAGGCAGCAAGUUGUUUCUUAUGUCUCCCUGCUCUCUGGGAAAAUGAAGACACCUCUUUCUCCCUUAUUAGGGAGAGAGAGAACCUGCGGUAUGUCAAAUACUGGGUGAAACGUGAAGUCGUUGGGGUAGCUGCAAGUCCGUGUCUUUGCUAUUGCUUUGCUCAUGCUUGAGUGCUCGGCAACA